UACGUAGGGUGCGAGCGUUAAUCGGAAUUACUGGGCGUAAAGCGUGCGCAGGCGGUUUGCCAAGACAGGCGUGAAAUCCCCGGGCUUAACCUGGGAACUGCGCUUGUGACUGGCAGGCUGGAGUACGGCAGAGGGGGGUGGAAUUCCUGGUGUAGCAGUGAAAUGCGUAGAGAUCAGGAGGAACACCGAUGGCGAAGGCAGCCCCCUGGGCCUGUACUGACGCUCAUGCACGAAAGCGUGGGGAGCAAAC
rnacentral:rRNA from 1 species